ACAGGUUAUUUCGGAGAAUUGAGCGGAAUCCCUCGUUCGACAAACUGCUGCAAACUGCAAGCAGCUGCUCAUUUGGCCUAAAGCAGACCACUCAUAGCAGGCCACGUAUUUUCGGAAGCAACUGAUCCUGCGCACAAACUUAGCGGUCAAAUCGUAGAACUGGGAAGAAGCAACGCAACACAACCAAGCCCCGAUAAAGGGGCUUUGUUGUGGCUCUGUCUUUUUGUUUAUUUUCCCCAGCAGCUUCGGUCGGUGGUGUCGGCAUCAGACGUCGCUUCCAGUGAGACAGCUUGGUCCUGGCGUAAGAACGCUCCACCAACUUCAACAAGUCCGGUUCCCGGUGACUUGGUUGGCCAUCCCUGGUCCUUCGUCGGCAUCAUCCAGCAGCGUUCGGAAGGGCGGUACCCAGCGUUUGCUUGGCCCUCUUAGGCCAUCACACAAAAGGUUCUGAAGCACCGGGACCGGAGAGCUGGUUCGAACCAAGGAUCGCAGGAGAGCACAGUAUUCAUCCAGCAGCGUUCGGAAGGGCGGUACCCAACGCUUGCUUGGCCAUCCCAGGCCAUUGAGCAACUGAUUCAACAGCAGAUGGGACCGUGAGCCGGUUCGAAGCACGGAUUGCGGGCAAGCAGUCAUCACGAACACCGUUGGAAGGGUGUCAUUCAGCAACUAGGAACGUGGGAGGAACUGAAUCGUAGAAAGCCUGCACCAGAAAUGAACCCAGCUGAUCUGGAAAUCCGGGAUUCACUUCUCACCUCUCCAGGCAAGAAUUUCGGACGGUGCAUGUGCUGACGUCAUACGAUGACAAAAAGUGAG